rnacentral:rRNA from 1 species
CGUACACUCCUGCGGGAGGCAGCAGUGGGGAAUAUUGGACAAUGGGCGCAAGCCUGAUCCAGCCAUGCCGCGUGAGUGAUGAAGGCCCUAGGGUUGUAAAGCUCUUUCACCGGUGAAGAUAAUGACGGUAACCGGAGAAGAAGCCCCGGCUAACUUCGUGCCGGCAGCCGCGGUAAUACGAAGGGGGCUAGCGUUGUUCGGAUUUACUGGGCGUAAAGCGCACGUAGGCGGACUAUUAAGUCAGGGGUGAAAUCCCGGGGCUCAACCCCGGAACUGCCUUUGAUACUGGUAGUCUUGAGUUCGAGAGAGGUGAGUGGAAUUCCGAGUGUAGAGGUGAAAUUCGUAGAUAUUCGGAGGAACACCAGUGGCGAAGGCGGCUCACUGGCUCGAUACUGACGCUGAGGUGCGAAAGCGUGGGGAGCAAACAGGAUUAGAUACCCUAGUAGUCCC